GACGAACGCUGGCGGCGUGCUUAACACAUGCAAGUCGAACGGUAAGGCCCUUCGGGGUACACGAGUGGCGAACGGGUGAGUAACACGUGGGUGAUCUGCCCUGCACUUCGGGAUAAGCCUGGGAAACUGGGUCUAAUACCGGAUAGGACCACUGCCUGCAUGGGUGGUGGUGGAAAGCUUUUGCGGUGUGGGAUGGGCCCGCGGCCUAUCAGCUUGUGGGUGGGGUGAUGGCCUACCAAGGCGACGACGGGUAGCCGGCCUGAGAGGGUGACCGGCCACACUGGGACUGAGGUACGGCCCAGACUCCUACGGGAGGCAGCAGUGGGGAAUAUUGCACAAUGGGCGCAAGCCUGAUGCAGCGACGCCGCGUGAGGGAUGACGGCCUUCGGGUUGUAAACCUCUUUCAGCACCGACGAAGCGCAAGUGACGGUAGGUGCAGAAGAAGGACCGGCCAACUACGUGCCAGCAGCCGCCGUAA
rnacentral:rRNA from 1 species